UUGAACCCAGGCACUGCCAUUCCACAGGCCAAGCCCUUCACCACUAUGCCACAUUGCCUUGUGCCAGGCCUGCUUCCAGACCAGGGGCUGCUCACUGGCUGGUCUCCAAUGGACCAGCACCUGGAAUGAGAUGGGGCCAGGCCUUGAGACUGUGGCCUCAUGGUCUUAGCACAGAUGGGCACAGCUCUGGGAUCAAGCUGUAGCUGCAAGCACCAUGCCCUGGGGCAAGGCUCCUUGGUAGGUGCCCGGCCUCCUGUUCCCAGGGCCACUCCCCAGGUACUCUGGCCACUUCAGCCUGCAGGAGGAAUGUCUGCAAUGAACAAAAAUGCAGAAAUGGAGUGACCUGGGACAGUCUGGGUAUCCCAGUGGCCCCUCAGAUUUACUAUGGCCCAUCUGCUCCUCCUGGUAGGCCCUCGGGUCUGCAAGAGCCCUGAUGGUGGAGAGGGGGCUGCGCGGGUGGCCCUCUCCUGGGGCUGGCUUUUGACCCCUCUCCUGCACCCACCCCAACUCCACUCUGAAGGACCCCGGCAAGCCAGGUCAAUUAUUAGAACUCCAUAAAGGUUUGCUGGUGUUAUUUGAUUUUUGUCGUUGCUUUUUGUUAUCAUGAACUGGGCCUGUAAAAUGAAGAGGUUCAUGCCUUUCUUGGUGAAGUGGUCAAGAUUUAAAGACGUGGUGGGUACAGUACAGCUUUUUGCAACGUGGACAGAGGAGACACCGUCACGGGAGGUGCGGGGGCUCUUUUCACUCCGAGGCGUUCAGGCCGGGACCGAGCUGCUGGGGGAGUGCCCGGUGGGCAGGCAGUGAGCUCGCACCGGGCAAGAUUUGGGUCUGACCCCUCCUCCCUGCACUCACCCCCUCCCUGGGCGCCAACAGCACCCGGAGCAGCGCAAGGGCGUCCUCGCUGCGCAAACGCGGGGCUCCAGCGCCGCCUGCCGGUCGCCGUGUGCAGCACCGACCCAGAGAUCUCGCCGUGUCGGCCUGCGCUGGGGACGCGCGGGACACCCGGUUCCAGGAAUCCCGGUGGGGGUCCGGCCUUGUUGGGCGCAGGGAACGCGGCUCUGCAGGACGGGCCGCCGCCGAGGGCAUCGGCAAGCUUCGGGGUGUGGACCCUGCCUGCGCCCGCUGCAACAGUUUUGGGCAACACCGUGGCUUUUUGAGCCUCAGUCACUCCUUGCGGAGGACGAACAGGCUGGGAAUUCGUCUUCUCCCACCGCAGCGUCUCUGCAACCUCGUUCUCGACGACGUCCCAGCCUCCCUUCUGGUCCAGUCCCACCCCCAACAUUCCUCCUACCCUACUCGCUGGACACUUCCCGCAAUUCCAAAUCCCGGCGUGUGGCUCAUCCACGUGAAAACCCUUCAGAGUUCCUGGUUGUCGCAUAAAACGUUGCUUUCAUAUUAAAACGAACAUGGACUCUGGGAGGCCGAGGCUGGACGAUCCCCUGGGCCCAGGAGUUGAAGGUUACAGUGAGCCAUGAUCCCCACUGCACUCCAGCCUGGGCAACAAAGCGAGAUUCUAUGUAAAAAGAAGAAAAAAAAAAAAAAAAA
rnacentral:lncRNA from 1 species